CAAGACAUAAUUUAAGAAGAAUAUUGGCUUUGGGGGUCAAAAGUAAGGGUUAAAUUCCUUUUGUCUUGA
rnacentral:tRNA from 1 species